UCCCUGGUGGUCCAAUGGCUAGGACCCGGCACUUUCAAUGCUGGGGCCCAGGUUCCAUCCCUAGUUCUGGAA
rnacentral:tRNA from 1 species